AUUGAUUCUCAUUUAUCUUCUUUGGCUGCCUUUGAUGACUCUAAUAUUGAAAUCCUCUCCUGAGCCCAUUGGAGUCAGCGACUGUAUCGAAGCACCCUAGUGGCUACAUCCCAAGUCGCCCUCUCGAUGACUUCUGAUAAUUUUUUGCAUUCCUCGAUUAGCCUAUUCCUUUCUUUAGCAUGAGCUUUGUCCCCUGGCCAAACAGCCGCUCGACGAUGCUCAGACUCUGUUGAAACUUCCUCGAAUGCCUUCUUGACCCUGGAAAGCUCCCUCUUCCAAUCUGAGACCUUUUUGCUUGGCACUUUCACCUUUUUCUCU
rnacentral:lncRNA from 1 species